AUGAAGCUGAGAUUGGCCGGAUUCCAGAAGACAAGGAACGGCGUCGUCAAGAAGGUAGCUGCGCCCAGUCCUUCCGAUCCGCUCGGCGCUGAGGUACAAUUGGCCAUUAAUGACGGACGAUUGACAUUUAUGAAGACUACCGAAAGGAAGCUCGAUAGUGAUCCUUUACCUAUUAUCAAUGUGAUCGAGUUUGAAAAGAAGAAAGUGCUUAUUCGGUCGGAUCAGACCGAGUCCGCAAAGGGAAAAAAUGUUGUCGUCGAUGAUAAUGUUGCGCCGAGGAUGAUCAAACCAAAAAAUUCAGAAGUAAGGUUGUGGAAAGUCAAUGGAAAAAUGACACAAGCUCCAAGAAUAAAGCCGACAGUUAGCAUGUUAUUGGAAAAGUGUACUUCACGCAAGGCCAACAAUGUGUUUAAUCGUUUUGGAGGCGUUAAGCGUACUAGGUCUCCUUUUGGACCUGGAGGUCAUGAGCCAUGGAAAAAAUAUUCAUAUCAUCAACAGCCGUACUAUCCAAUGGAGUCGGCUUAUUGGGGAUGUUCACCUCCUAUGUAUCCUCGAUUUUCUCGGAGAGAUUUUUGUCCUUGGGCGCCAUAUCCUAGAGGUCCAGCAUGUUACUUUCAACCGGAGUGGAAUUCAUCAAGGCCUACGUUGAACCAAACUCGUAUGAAAAAAGAGUUCAGUUUAAUCAGAAAGGUAGACUCCGUGAUGCCAAUGUAA
rnacentral:rRNA from 1 species